rnacentral:rRNA from 1 species
GGAUGAAGGUUCUAUGGAUCGUAAACCUCUUUUAUAAGGGAAUAAAGUGCGGGACGUGUCCUGUUUUGUAUGUACCUUAUGAAUAAGGAUCGGCUAACUCCGUGCCAGCAGCCGCGGUAAUACGGAGGAUCCGAGCGUUAUCCGGAUUUAUUGGGUUUAAAGGGUGCGUAGGCGGCCUUUUAAGUCAGCGGUGAAAGUCUGUGGCUCAACCAUAGAAUUGCCGUUGAAACUGGGGGGCUUGAGUAUGUUUGAGGCAGGCGGAAUGCGUGGUGUAGCGGUGAAAUGCUUAGAUAUCACGCAGAACCCCGAUUGCGAAGCAGCCUGCCAAGCCAUGACUGACGCUGAUGCACGAAAGCGUGGGGAUCAAACAGGAUUAGAUACCCUGGUAGUCCACGCAGUAAACGAUGAUCACUAGCUGUUUGCGAUACAGUGUAAGCGGCACAGCGAAAGCGUUAAGUGAUCCACCUGGGGAGUACGCCGGCAACGGUGAAACUCAAAGGAAUUGACGGGGGCCCGCACAAGCGGAGGAACAUGUGGUUUAAUUCGAUGAUACGCGAGGAACCUUACCCGGGUUUGAACGCAUUCGGACCGAGGUGGAAACACCUUUUCUAGCAAUAGCCGUUUGCGAGGUGCUGCAUGGUUGUCGUCAGCUCGUGCCGUGAGGUGUCGGCUUAAGUGCCAUAACGAGCGCAACCCUUGCCACUAGUUACUAACAGGUAAAGCUGAGGACUCUGGUGGGACUGCCAGCGUAAGCUGCGAGGAAGGCGGGGAUGACGUCAAAUCAGCACGGCCCUUACAUCCGGGGCGACACACGUGUUACAAUGGCGUGGACAAAGGGAUGCCACCUGGCGACAGGGAGCGAAUCCCCAAACCACGUCUCAGUUCGGAUCGGAGUCUGCAACCCGACUCCGUGAAGCUGGAUUCGCUAGUAAUCGCGCAUCAGCCAUGGCGCGGUGAAUACGUUCCCGGGCCUUGUACACACCGCCCGUCAAGCCAUGGGAGCCGGGGGUACCUGAAGUCCGUAACCGCGAGGAUCGGCCUAGGGUAAAACUGGUGACUGGGGCUAAGUCGUAACAAGGUAGCCGUACCGGAAGGUGCGGCUGGAACACCUCCUUUCU